UACGUGAGGGGGCAAGCGUUGUCCGGAUUUAUUGGGCGUAAAGAGCGUGUAGGCGGCCUGACAAGUCUGGCUGUGAAAACUCGAGGCUCAACCUCGAGAUGUCGGCGGAAACUGUCUGGCUAGAGUCCGGAAGAGGAGAGUGGAAUUCCUGGUGUAAGCGGUGAAAUGCGCAGAUAUCAGGAAGAACACCUAUGGCGAAGGCAGCUCUCUGGGACGGUACUGACGCUGAGACGCGAAAGCGUGGGGAGCGAACAGG
rnacentral:rRNA from 1 species